UUUAAUUUUAUUUAAAGUUCCAAAAGAUGUUUUCUCCUCAGACUGCAUAAUAUAACAAGGCUAAGCGGAUCUGGCUCUCUACUGCACUUGUUCUUGGGAAAGCAAAGGGAGAAGGUGGUAAAGGGGAGGGAGAGAUAAGAAGACUGAGAAGCAGGGAACCAGUUGGCCUAAGGGUGUACCGCUGGGAAAGGAUGGGACUAGGGAAAGACAAGGCUUUCUGACCCCAAAACUCCUACCACUCACUCAAGGGUCUGAGCCAAGCUGCCACUCACUCAUCUCAACUGAGACGGGAAGAGCCCCGAUGAGAAGUAAACUAAGUCCUAAACCUCAGCACCUGCUCUCCAGACAGAAAUUCAGCGAGACUCUAUGAAUGUUGUCAUGGACGCUGUAGUGCGGCUAUUGAUCUGAAACCCCAGGUACUGUCUGAUGCAUGAGCACCUCCAGUCCAGCUGCAUGGCUACUUCCCUGACCAUUUGUGAAGCCUCUGUAUGUGUCAAGAAGAGUAAACUAACACAAAUUGGCUCUUCCUGUACGUCGACUUUUUGGCAAGGACACGUAACCCAACCAGGGUGGUUGCAUUUAUCCUGUAACAAGCACUCAAUGUUAACUACAGGAUCCACCAGAAGCUGUGAGACUCAGGCGGCUGGAAGCACUGUCCCCUCUCAAUGACCGAGACUGCUGUCUGAGCAAAUGGUCCACGUCCUCUGAAGACUUCUCCCAGCGCCUUACAGAGGCUUUCCCAUCCCUUCUCUGUCAGCCUCCAAGUCCAGCUGCAUUCUACCUCCUGCUUUCAUUGGCUGAACCUCACCACAUAAACCUAAAUGUUUGGCAACAUGUUAUUCUAGCCUACCACAGUAAAAUUAAUUUGGGGGAAAUAAACGAAAUAAGUAAAACCUCACGGGAGGAGUUUACUACUGUUCCAUGCCAGUUUCAAAGCUGAAAGUGGAAGGAUUAGCCCAAAUUUCAGCAGCUAGGUGGCAUGAAAAAAAGAAAAUAUUUAUUCUACC